UUGGCGACCGGCGCACGGGUGAGUAACGCGUAUGCAACUUACCUAUCAGAGGGGGAUAGCCCGGCGAAAGUCGGAUUAAUACCCCAUGAAACAGGGGUCCCGCAUGGGAAUAUUUGUUAAAGAUUCAUCGCUGAUAGAUAGGCAUGCGUUCCAUUAGGCAGUUGGCGGGGUAACGGCCCACCAAACCGACGAUGGAUAGGGGUUCUGAGAGGAAGGUCCCCCACAUUGGUACUGAGACGCGGACCAA
rnacentral:rRNA from 1 species